GACGAACGCUGGCGGCGUGCUUAACACAUGCAAGUCGAGCGGUAAGGCCCUUUCGGGGGUACGACGAGCGGCGAACGGGUGGAGUAACACGUGGGUGGACCUGCCCUCCAGCUCUGGGAGUAAGCCUGGGAAACCGGGGUCUAAUACUGGAUAUGACUCCAUGACGCAUGUUGUGGGGUGGAAAGCCUUGUGCGGCUGAGGA
rnacentral:rRNA from 1 species